rnacentral:rRNA from 1 species
CUUUGUGACGGACCAGCUGGCUGGUGCCAUGAGGUGACUUCUGCCCAGUGCUCUGAUUGUCACUGCGAAGAGAUUCAGCCAAGCGCGGGUAAACGGCGGGAGUAACUAUGACUCUCUUAAGGUAGCCAAAUGCCUCGUCAACCAAUUAUUGACGCGCAUGAAUGGAUCAACGAGAUUCCUGCUGUCCCUAGGUGCUGUCCGGUGAACCAACAGCCAAGGGAACGGGCUUGGGUGUGUCAGCGGGGAAAGAAGACCCUGUUGAGUUUGACUCUAGUUUGAUGCUGUGCAACGACAUGUGGGGUGUAGCAUAGGUGGGAGGCAAGUGCCAUGCCAAGAUGUCCCACCCAGUUGUGGCAGUGAGGCCCUGACCAGGCCUUCACAGUGAUGAUGUGCAAGGAGCCCAGUCUCCAUGGUGCAAACCAGCAGUGAAAUACCACUACCUUCACCGUCGUUUUACUCACCAAGUGGCUUGGGAACAGUGGCCAUUGGACAUCAACUUCUGCAUCCCUGUGGGAGUUGUGGCCUCUACCUGCUUCGUGCGCCAAGUGCAGCCACCUUGUGUGGCAGCAUGACCCUGUGGGGUUCACGCCCUGUCCGUCAGUUUGGUGCCUUGGGACAAUGAUCAGUUGGGGAGUUUGGCUGGGGCGGCACGCCUGUUACAGGACAACGCAGGCGUCCUGAAGCAUUGCUCAGAUGGAAGAGAAAUCUUGCAUGGAGGAGCAGGCCAAAGGUGCUGCUGAUGCUGCGACUUCCAGUACAAGUCCAAAACGUGCAAGUGUGGCCUUGCGAUCCUUUGGUCAAGUGCUCGAGUUUGGGAUAUUGAAGCCAGAGGUGUCAGAAAAAUUACCACAGGGAUAACUGGCUUGUGGCUGCCAAGCGUUCAAAGCGACGUCGCUUUUUGAUCCUUCGAUGUCGGCUCUUCCUAGCUUCCCACCCGCAGCCGAGUGGAAGAGUUGGAUUGUUCACCCACCAACAGGGAACGUGAGCUGG